rnacentral:rRNA from 1 species
UACGUAGGGUGCAAGCGUUAAUCGGAAUUACUGGGCGUAAAGCGUGCGCAGGCGGUUAUGCAAGACAGAUGUGAAAUCCCCGGGCUCAACCUGGGAACUGCAUUUGUGACUGCAUAGCUAGAGUGCGGCAGAGGGAGAUGGAAUUCCGCGUGUAGCAGUGAAAUGCGUAGAUAUGCGGAGGAACACCGAUGGCGAUGGCAAUCUCCUGGGCCUGCACUGACGCUCAUGCACGAAAGCGUGGGGAGCAAACAGG